rnacentral:lncRNA from 1 species
GUAAUCAGAACUCUCCUUCCUGCCCUCUUCAAUGUUUAUUAUUUUAUCACAAGAAGAAAAUAGUAUAACUAGGUACAAUGAUCUCUCACAUGGCUUUACUAGCUUUUGUGAAGGAAGCCCCGUGUGUUGCUUUGUGUGUGCAUCAGUCUCUCGAGAACCCCCUGUGAAUCAGGAGGCAUACGUUCCAGUGACUAUAGGGAGUCGAGGGGCUAAAGAGGAAGCUGAUGCUUACAACAAUGGAGAUUAGCAAUACCUGGACAGAGUUGAGCUUCAAAGGAUACUGAGAAAUAGCUAAAGCAGAUGAUAAAGAAAAAAUGAGGAAAUGCUGUGAAGAACUAAUAGAACGUUUCAGAAGCAGAACAAGUCGAGAGCAGUGAUGACCCUUUUGUUCCUGCUAGUACCUCCUGUCUGUCUGGCCGAACUCACCAUCAGAUGAUGUCUUGAACCUCACCUAGAUGGGCUGGUGGUGUGUGGCCAGGUUAAGAGCACCAACAGGAGUAAGAAAGUGACCUGCCUGGUUUUACCGUGUGUACUAGGGGAGGGGUUGAAAGCUUUCGGUUGAUACAUCACCUCUGGGAGUUGAAGAAGAAUGCAAUUAAGAGAGCUAAAGAAGUCAGUAGGUAUCUCUCCUGAACAAUUCUGGUUUUCUUCUAAUAGCUUUUACAAUUUUUACCUCUGUUAUGAAAUGCAAACUUUUAACCAAUAUUAGUAAUAGUAAUCUCAAAUCUCAUCAUCAUCAAAAUCUUAUUUAUGAAAUAUAGGAGUUAGUUCAUAUACAGCCUUAGCCUUUUCCACAUUAUAAAAUAUAUUCCAUAUAUAUGUGUGAUCUUCAUUUAAUAUUCAAGUAAAUGUUGUAAGAUAUUGUUAUUUUUAUUCUAACAUUUCACAGGUAUAGAAUCUGAAACUCAGAGGUCAACUGAUGUGUCAAAGAUACCUCCACAAAUCAGUACCUUGAUUAAAACUAAAAUUGGAGUCAUCUUCAUAUCUCCAUCUUUCUCCCUCUUCAUUAGGACCGAUUGUAGUCUGUUUCCCUCUCACUCACUUGCAAUCUUUAUUGCUUUAGUGUUGCAUUUGAUUUUUAUCUUUGUUUUUGUUUUAAAUACUGUCAUUAAAGUCAUAGAAAAAUCUAAAAUAAAACUGGUUGAAUAAAAAUUUUAAAAUCGACUCUAAUGUAAUAAACCAGACAAAAAUGAUACUUUAAAUGUUAUAUCUUCCCUUUAAACUACAAAUAUUCAUUGAGUGUAUACCCUGUAUUAGGCUGUUGGAAUAAAACAGGGAAGAAGACAGAAGAAACUGCACCGCCAUCUUAGAUCUUGCAGCCAAAUUCCUCUGAACUUUUCUCUAAAGACGUGCUCUGGAAAAAUGUUGAUCAUUUUCCUACAUCAUGGAGGUCUUUUCAUGACCACCUUUGUCUAGACAAUGUCCUGUUUUUAGGUGCACGUUUGAGGGCUGGAGUCUCUGACCCACAGUGCUGCAGCCUGCACGUGGUUUGUCCUGACUUCUUUGCUACUUCACUUUUCGUAAGGCUCUGAGAGUGCAGGCCCUUGUGGGUGGACACUGCAGGGUGAGAGGAAGAAGUAAACUACUUUUUUCCGUUUCUGAUGGGGGUGUGGGUCAGCAGCUAUAAGCAACAGGGACCAUGGGGGGCCUCAGACUUCAGCACCUGAGAGGCAGUUUCAGUCGUAUUGGGGAGAUGCAGGCAUCUGGGUUGCUGCACAUCACCAGGGCAGGGUUCUCUCAGCAGCCCUGGAGUGCAGAGUUCCCAUCAGCUCAGCAGUGAGGGGCACAUGGGGCUCCAGUGGUGAGGACUCUUGGUCCUUGGAUGACAACACUCCCCUGCCCACUUCUCCAGCCUUCCCUGUAACCCUUUGCCACCUCUAACCAAUCUUCUGUGUUACAUCUCUUCGGUUUGCAAUAUGUAGUGUUCGUAUAUGACUGGACAGUAUCUACUGGAGUUAAUAUCUAUCAGAGUAAUUAUAUCACAAUUGCAAUCUUCUCCUAAGAGUGAAUAGUGACAUUAAAAAUUUCAACAUUAUAAAUUAUGCAGAAAUAAAACUAAUUAUACAAAAAAUACACUCUGAAUGUCAGUUUUUCCCUGAGACAAUCUACCAUUUGAUAUACGGUGAUUCACACUUCUUAAUAUACAACAUUGAAUUACUUUUCCAAAAGCCUCUUCAAAUUUUGCUGCAGAAUUAAACUUCACUUGCACCAGCUCUGAAUUAUGUGUGCUUUUCCUUCUUGGUCAAUUUCAUAGGUGUAUCAUUAUUUGUCUUUUUUAAUUAAUAUGUUUAUAUAACUUUUCAUGUUUAUCCAUGUAACUACUGCUUUUGUGAAACGUGUGUUUUUAUCCUUUUCACAUUUUUUUCUAUUGAAAUGUUUUCUUUAUAAAUAUAAAUGUGUUUUUGGUAUGAAAAUAAUAACUGGCCAGAUGCGGUGGCUCACACCUGUAAUCCCAGCACUUUGAGAGGCCGAGGUGGGUGGAUCACCUGGCCUCAGGAGUUCGGGACCAGCCUGGCCAGCAUAGUGAAACCCCAUCUCUACUAAAACUACAAAAUUAGCUGGCGUGGUAGCACGUGCCCUGUAAUCCAAGCUACUUGGGAGGCUGAGACAGGAGACUCAGUCGAACCUAGGAGGCAGAAGUUGCAGCAAGCCAAGAUCACGCUAUUGCACUCCAGCCUGGGCAAAAAGAGCGAAACUCUGUCUCAAAAAGAAGAAAAAAAAUAGUAACUCUUUGUGAAUAGUAUCAACUAAAAUAUUUAUAUUUCAGUUUUCAUUCUGAUAUUUUGUUUCAUCAGAAUUUUUUAAAGUAUUUUGUUUAAUAUAUUAACUUUAAUAAUUUCAUUAACUGUCUCGUGCUUACAAAGUCUUUAUGCAUUUGGGGAUUAUGUAAAGCAUCUACCUUUACACUUUUAAUGAGUUUCAGAGGUUUUUUGGUACCUUUGAGUUAUAAUACAAAAAUAAUUUAUUUGGGUGUGAUAUGCAGUGAAUUGCUAACAUUAUUGCUUUUAAUUAAAGAUUAAAUUCCAAUGUUGAAUGAUAUUUUCUUUAAUUUCAAAAAUAAUUAGUAACUGUUCCAGGCACUAUCUAGGUUUAUGAUGUUUGAAACAAAGAUUCUUCCCACACAGCAUUUAUAUACUAGUGGUAAAUACAGGCAAUAAACUAAUAAAUAUGUAAUGAAAUAUCAAGUAUUAAUAAUCACAGUGAAUAAAAAAUAAAGGCAGAGAGAUG